AGCGGCGGACGGGUGAGUAACGCGUGGGCAACCUGCCUUACACAGGGGGAUAACAGUUAGAAAUGACUGCUAAUACCGCAUAAGACCACAGUACUGCAUGGUGCAGUGGUAAAAACUCCGGUGGUGUAAGAUGGGCCCGCGUCUGAUUAGGUAGUUGGCGGGGUAACGGCCCACCAAGCCGACGAUCAGUAGCCGACCUGAGAGGGUGACCGGCCACAUUGGGACUGAGACACGGCCCAGACUCCUACGGAAGGCAGCAG
rnacentral:rRNA from 1 species